CUACGGGGGGCUCCAGUGAGGAAUAUUGCACAAUGGAGGAAACUCUGAUGCAGCAACGCCGCGUGGAGGAUGACGCAUUUCGGUGUGUAAACUCCUUUUAUAUGUCAAGAAAAUGACGGUAGCAUAUGAAUAAGCACCGGCUAACUCCGUGCCAGCAGCCGCGGUAAUACGGAGGGUGCAAGCGUUACUCGGAAUCACUGGGCGUAAAGGACGCGUAGGCGGGAUAUCAAGUCAGGUGUGAAAUCCUACAGCUUAACUGUAGAACUGCACUUGAAACUGGUAACCUAGAGUAUGGGAGGGGGAGAUGGAAUUAGUGGUGUAGGGGUAAAAUCCGUAGAUAUCACUAGGAAUACCUAAAGCGAAGGCGAUCUCCUGGAACAUAACUGACGCUAAGGCGUGAAAGCGUGGGGAGCAAACAGGAUUAGAUACCCCGGUAGUC
rnacentral:rRNA from 1 species